ACGCACGCUGGCGGCGUGCUUCACACAUGCAGGUCGAACGGAAAGGCCCUGCUUUUGUGGGGUGCUCGAGUGGCGAACGGGUGAGUAACACGUGAGUAACCUGCCCUUGACUUUGGGAUAACUUCAGGAAACUGGGGCUAAUACCGGAUAGGAGCUCCUGCUGCAUGGUGGGGGUUGGAAAGUUUCGGCGGUUGGGGAUGGACUCGCGGCUUAUCAGCUUGUUGGUGGGGUAGUGGCUUACCAAGGCUUUGACGGGUAGCCGGCCUGAGAGGGUGACCGGCCACAUUGGGACUGAGAUACGGCCCAGACUCCUACGGGAGGCAGCAGUGGGGAAUAUUGCACAAUGGGCGGAAGCCUGAUGCAGCAACGCCGCGUGCGGGAUGACGGCCUUCGGGUUGUAAACCGCUUUCGCCUGUGACGAAGCGUGAGUGACGGUAAUGGGUAAAGAAGCACCGGCUAACUACGUG
rnacentral:rRNA from 1 species